UACGAAGGGGACUAGCGUUGUUCGGAAUCACUGGGCGUAAAGCGCACGUAGGCGGAUUUGUAAGUCAGGGGUGAAAUCCCGGGGCUCAACCUCGGAACUGCCUUUGAUACUGCGGAUCUCGAGUCCGAUAGAGGUGGGUGGAAUUCCUAGUGUAGAGGUGAAAUUCGUAGAUAUUAGGAAGAACACCGGUGGCGAAGGCGGCCCACUGGAUCGGUACUGACGCUGAGGUGCGAAAGCGUGGGGAGCAAACAGG
rnacentral:rRNA from 1 species